rnacentral:rRNA from 1 species
UACGAAGGGGGCUAGCGUUGCUCGGAAUCACUGGGCGUAAAGGGUGCGUAGGCGGGUCUUUAAGUCGGGGGGGAAAUCCUGGAGCUCAACUCCAGAACUGCCUUUGAUACUGAGGAUCUUGAGUUCGGGAGAGGUGAGUGGAACUGCGAGUGUAGAGGUGAAAUUCGUAGAUAUUCGCAAGAACACCAGUGGCGAAGGCGGCUCACUGGCCCGAUACUGACGCUGAGGCACGAAAGCGUGGGGAGCAAACAGG